UACAGAGGUCUCAAGCGUUGUUCGGAUUCAUUGGGCGUAAAGGGUGUGUAGGUGGCGCCGUAAGUCGGGUGUGAAAUUUCGGAGCUUAACUCCGAAACUGCAUUCGAUACUGCGGUGCUUGAGGACUGGAGAGGAGACUGGAAUUCAUGGUGUAGCAGUGAAAUGCGUAGAGAUCAUGAGGAAGACCAGUGGCGAAGGCGGGUCUCUGGACAGUUCCUGACACUGAGGAGCGAAAGCCAGGGGAGCAAACGGG
rnacentral:rRNA from 1 species